GAGUUUGAUCCUGGCUCAGGAUGAACGCUGGCGGCGUGCCUAAUACAUGCAAGUCGAGCGAACGGACGAGAAGCUUGCUUCUCUGAUGUUAGCGGCGGACGGGUGAGUAACACGUGGAUAACCUACCUAUAAGACUGGGAUAACUUCGGGAAACCGGAGCUAAUACCGGAUAAUAUUUUGAACCGCAUGGUUCAAAAGUGAAAGACGGUCUUGCUGUCACUUAUAGAUGGAUCCGCGCUGCAUUAGCUAGUUGGUAAGGUAACGGCUUACCAAGGCAACGAUGCAUAGCCGACCUGAGAGGGUGAUCGGCCACACUGGAACUGAGACACGGUCCAGACUCCUACGGGAGGCAGCAGUAGGGAAUCUUCCGCAAUGGGCGAAAGCCUGACGGAGCAACGCCGCGUGAGUGAUGAAGGUCUUCGGAUCGUAAAACUCUGUUAUUAGGGAAGAACAUAUGUGUAAGUAACUGUGCACAUCUUGACGGUACCUAAUCAGAAAGCCACGGCCAACUACGUCG
rnacentral:rRNA from 1 species